rnacentral:rRNA from 1 species
UACGUAGGGUGCGAGCGUUGUCCGGAAUUAUUGGGCGUAAAGGGCGCGUAGGCGGUGCGGUAAGUCACCUGUGAAAUCUCCUGGCUCAACUGGGAGCUUGCAGGCGAAACUGCCGUGCUGGAGUGUGGGAGAGGUGAGUGGAAUUCCCGGUGUAGCGGUGAAAUGCGCAGAUAUCAGGAGGAACACCAAUGGCGAAGGCAGCUCGCUGGGACGGUACUGACGCUGAGGCGCGAAAGCGUGGGGAGCAAACAGG